ACAAUUCAGCAGUUGAUCACUCAGUUCAUGGGCAGAUGAAGAAGACAACUAGCUUCAAGAAUUAAUGUAAAUUACAGGACACACUGAUCACCAACACUUUGAACACACUUGCAGCCCUGGGUUCUUCCCAAAGCUACACCA
rnacentral:rRNA from 1 species